rnacentral:lncRNA from 1 species
UGAACUGAACUGAAUUUUAUUGGGGCUUUUCCAUGAACCGCAAGCUAUUCUUUUAUUCGCCUGAGAAAAUUACAGUGAUGUUGUCUACACAACACAGAUUACUCUUCCACCCUGAUCAGCUCCUACAUUACAAUGAGCUAAAUGGCACAAAUGCAUCUAUUUAACUAUUACAACACUUCGAGUACAACGGAAGGAUGGCUCAAUAACUAAUCAAUGCAGGAAACUACUAUCACAAUAUAUUGAAAAUCAUCACCAGGCUGAAUCUGUAUUAUUGGUUGGACUAUACAAAACGUGAAACAUGGUUGGUCUACUGUAAUUGAACGACUAGGAUUCCAACCAUUGUGUGGGAUGAAUGAUACAAUUUUGUGGUAGGUAAGACUUUACUUAACAUGACGAAAGAGCUUAGGGAACUGAAAAAAAAAUAGUAACUUUAGAAAAACUGAAAAAGACCUCCACGCCAAAAAUAACCUCUCCAACCUGUAUGCAAAGUUGCAAACAAUAUUGAUUUGAUAUGAACUGAAACAAAAACGGGAAUCAAGAGAAGUCAAGAAGUGCAUACGGGACCAUGCUUAAACUCUGUCAGGGGUUCGAUCUUAAGUCAGUCCUGCUAAACGUCCUGCACACACAAACAUACAAAAAAUCAAGCUAAGAAGGACGGCGUGGUUGAUUUAGUCUAGCUGAAAUUGACGCACCAAAAAUGGCACACGCCAAAUUGAGCAGUAGUUCUACUACUGCAUAAUGCAAGGUUUAAUAUAAAUGGACCAGAUUUAUUUAAGCCCUGUCAUACAAAUCACACAGGUCCAGUAUACGUUUACAGAGAAAAAUCUUUGAUAUGUGUACAUGUAAUGUCGCCUCAUUUCUGAAAGCACAAACCCACCCUAACUUUUCACAUGAACAAAAUGCAGAUUUUCUCUUCCUUGAAGAUAUUACAUGACUCGGCAUCUUCUUGUAGGGAAGGGGGAAAGUAAAGAAAGAAGAAAAUAGCACAGGCAAUUGCUCACAAGACUACACUCACCUUCAAAUGAUCUCAAACAAGAAAAAUUUGCAAGAGGCGUGAAGGGGGAGAAGGAUUGAGAGAAGCUCACCUUGACAUCAUCCGAGCUCCUCCGUGCGCACCAUCUUCAGCCGUCGGGACUUCACCUUCCCUGCCGCUCCAUGAGGAUUCUGCUCCUUCCUUGUCGCCAGUCUCUCCUCCACCCCGUGAGGCGUCCGCCGCCU